UACGUAGGGGGGCAAGCGUUUGUCCGGAAUUAUUGGGCGUAAAAGAGCGUGUAGGCGGUCCGGGUAAGUCAGCUGUGAAAGUCAAGGGCUCAACCCUUGAAAGCCGGGUUGAUACUGUCGGGCUAGAGUCCGGAAGAGGCGAGUGGAAUUCCCGGUGUAGCGGUGAAAUGCGCAGAUAUCAGGAGGAACACCGAUGGCGAAGGCAGGUCUCGUGGGCAUUAACUGACGCUGAGGAGCGAAAGCAUGGGGAGCGAACAGG
rnacentral:rRNA from 1 species